CAGUCAGGCAGUGAAAUCAAGGCAGUGGCGUCGUGGUAUGUUUGUAACUUACUGCGGAAAGUUUCCAGCUGAAAUCUUGCGAUAUUCACAAUGUCAUGACAGUUAAAGCAGCCUUUAAGCUUCACUGGUACCUGUACCAACGUCCAGAAGAGCCAGAGCGGCUCGCAUCCCUCCUCUGAUUGGACAGCAGGGACUCCGGACGUCAUGGCAACAGUAUCCCGCGGAUCAUGGAAGUGAGUGAUGAGUUUGACAGCGGGAUGGAGGCCACAGAUGACCUCGCGUCGUUUGAGGUGGUCAACCUGUCGAACCCGGGCCUGCUGGAUCUGGGCACAGACGUCGACGGGCACGUCCAGGAGUCAAAGGACAGGACCAAACUCAAAACAAAACUCAUUUCAGCGUGGAAUAAUCUCAGAUAUGGAGGCUGGUCUCUGAAGAGCAAGCCGCGUCUCAGUAAGAGCAGCCCCGUGUGUC